rnacentral:misc_RNA from 1 species
GUAUCGAUCAUUCACCCCAGCACACACAGCUCCGGCGGCUGCUCCUCCAUUACUCCUCCUCCGCCAUUUUGAGUCAAGCUGUUGGGUGUGUGGUGUUCCCUCUUAUUGUCCCAAGCCAUGGCGAUGGACGCUCAGGCUCAGGCCAAGAAUAUGGAAAAUGUGAAGAAAGAACCGCAGACGCCGAAAGCAAGUGAGAACGGUGAGAACACGAGUAACUUCCGCGGCGGCGGCGGGCGAGGUGGACGAGGAGGCUUCCGUGGGAACCGGGGCGGUGGCGGCCCUGGAGGCCGUGGCGGUGGAGGCAGCACAAAUCUAGGCAAUGUUCAGACCUCGACUCAGGUGCCUGGUGGUAUAGGGAGUCUGGGGGCCAGCAGUGGCGGCGGCAGCAGCAGCAGUAGCGUCGGCCGUGGAGGAGGCGGCGGCGGCGGCGGCGGCGGCAGUAACAGCCACAACAACACAGACAACAGGAAUGACCAACACCCACACCAGCAUCACCAACAACACCAGAGGAGUGAUCAGCGGGGUGGCGGUGGCGGCUACUAUAGGGGUGGUCGAGGACGUGGCGGCCGAGGUGGUGGCGGCGGUGGUGGCGGUGGCGGCUCUAACUAUGGCGACAGGGAGGGCAGCUCUCAGAGGAACCAGACUCGACUAGCAGCACCCCAGCGUCAGUAUACAGUAGGUCAUCAAGACAGAAUCUUAGAACGCCUGAAACAACUCGCUGGACCCUUAAUUGAUCUGCCACCGAGGGAGGAAGCUGUUCGCAAAUUUUCUAAUCACUGCAGACUGUGGGUAGGAAACCUGCCCCUGGACAUUAAGGAGGACGAUGUUAAGGAACUUUUUAAACCAUAUGGAGAGUUUGAUGAAGUUUAUUUUGACAAAAACAAAGGAUUUGCCUUUGUUCGCAUGGACUUUAAAAGUAAUGCCGAGAAAGCACGGCAAGAACUUCACCUGAAGGAUUACAAGGGACGACAGCUCAAAAUUCGAUUCUCAUCGCCGGGCACAGCACUCAAGAUCCGCAAUCUUUCUACUUGGGUUACAAAUGAGCUUUUAGAGAAAGCCUUUUCGGUGUUUGGGGAACUUGAAAAAGCUAUUGUCAUUACCGAUGAACGUGGACGCGCUACUGGUGAAGGCAUCGUUGAGUUCUGUAAGAAACCUUCUGCCAAUUUGGCGCUCAAAAAGUGCAACGAAGGAUGUUUCUUUAUGGUCUCGUCUCCCCGUCCAGUUAUAGUGGAACAGAUGGCUCUAGUUGAUGAUAAUGAAGGAAUGAGUGAAAUAAAUGUAAACAAGCGCAAUCCAGAGUAUGUUAAGGAGCGGCAGCAGGGACCACGCUUUGCACAUCCUGGAUCCUUUGAAUAUGAGUAUGGCUUGAAAUGGAAGCAGCUGUAUGAACUGUUUGAUAAGAAGAAAGACGCUCUGGACAAAGAGUUACAAGACGAGAAGAGGAAAUUGGAGGAACAGAUAGAAUAUGCCAAGUACGAGCACGAGACAGAGAUGCUCAGAGAACAUGGUGUUUAUCCGACAGAGUUACGCCAGAGGGAAGAGAUGAAUCAGCGUACAAAGUCAGAUUACGAAGCGCGUCAGCGUGAGUGGGAGGAACACCGCCGCACAGAAGAGGAAAGACAGCGUCGCCAGGAGGAAGAAUUGUCAUUGAAGUUCCGUCAGCAAGAGGAGGAGCUCCGCAGACGUCAGGAGGAGAACCGACAAUUUAUGCAGGAACGUGCUAGUGAUAUGUUGAAGAAUGAAAAUAGCCAAGACAGUUUUGGAAGUACUGGUUAUCAAGGCACCGAGGGCAGCAACUGGCGCCGCAACAGUGACAGUUACAGAUCCCAGGGAGGCAGCAGCUGGCGUGGUGGUGGUAGUGACUCUUGGGGUCGUUCUGGGAUGGCAGGUAGUCGUGGAGGCACUAGCUCGUCUGGUCUGGGCAGUAGCUGGGCAGACAGUAGCUGGGAUGGUCGUCCUGAUCCCUGGCAGAGUGACAGUCGCAGUGCAUACCAGCGUGGCAGCAGUGAGAGUGAGCUCCCGCCUCCUCCGACCACCAACCAUGCUGGUGGUUCCUCCUCCAUACGCAACCCAGGGAGAGGGGAAGAGAAAGAGGCAGAGGACACCACCAAGGAGAUGACGUAUUACAGAGGACGAAGUUCUGGGUAUCGUCGCGGUACUAGGAUGGGCCUGGUGACCUGACCUGUGGUACCAGGAUUGUGAUGUAACCGUCAGGGGCACGGCUACAAGGGUGAUAUGUGCGGGUAAUGGUGGGAUCUCGGUGGAUGUUGUGAUAGAGGGGGGCCUCAAAAUUUCACAGGGUGUAGUCGGAGAUAAUCUCUGGCCAUUGAACUGCACCCUGGAGCUUUGAAAAGAUUGGUUGCUGAUAUGGAUGAUGAUAAUGGUGCUGUUCCAUCUGCAUGACAAUCCCAUCAGCUGAUUUAAUUCAUAUUUUAAUGUAGCCCAUUUUAGCUCGGUGAAAAUUUUUGGAAAUUUUUCAGGAAAUAGGGUGUCUUCAAGUUACAGUUUGCUUUGGCAAGAAUUUGAAAUUGUUUUUAUCACAUAUUUUGCUGGAUAGCAAAUUCCAUCAACUAUUUUAUGGAAAAAAAUUAAUUCCUCAUGUAGAUGUAAGGUGUUGUUACUUUAUUUGUAUUAUAUGGAAUACAAUAUAUUUUGUAACCGGUGCAUAAAAUAAUUUAUU